UUUAAGAUAGUUUAAAUAAAAUAUUAUUUUUGGGUAAUAAAAAUCUCUGUAAAGAGUCUUACUG
rnacentral:tRNA from 1 species